GUAGGCGAUUUGGGGCUCCUAGACUUGCAAGCCACAGAAAUGGAGCAGGCCACUCUAGAGUGAGAAAACACAGGAAAGCUCUAAGACUGCCAAGGCUUUUAUUUGGGCAGGACAGGCCGCCUUCAGUUCAAGGCUAUUACAACUACUGGAGAAGGCCGAGAACCAAGGGUAACAGCACAUACUGGUACCCUCAGGGCUUCUGGUUUGCUAUGAAAAUCUAAUUCCUCAAGUUAUGUCUUGUUCUAUGGGUUUAGCUGUACAGCAGGAGGGGUGACUUGCAUCCCCUUGCGCUGCAGGAAUUUUGGCCUGGAGUUUUAUAGAUUCCAAGACCAGAAGGGACAAUUGUGAUCAUCCAGUCUGACCUCCGCUGUAGCAUAGGCUGCAGAAUUCCCAGCACAUAGCUUCUAGAAAGAGAUCCAAUCUUCAUUUAAAAAUUGCCCAUGAUAGAGAAUCCACCAAAACCCUUGGUUGGUCCCAUGGUUAAUUACUCUGUUUCCCCUCUGAUUUUGUCAAGCUUCCAGCCACAGGAUCUUGUUCUACCUUUGUCUGCUAGAUUGAGCAGCCCAUUAUUAAAUAUUUGUUCCCUUGGAGGAACUUAGAGCACACUCAUCAAGUCACCCCUUAUCCGUCUCUUUGUUACACUACACAGAUUCAGCUCCUUGAGCCUAUCACUACAUGAUUAGAAAACCUGCCUUAUAACCAAUGUCGUGGCUCUUCUCUCAAAUUUACAACAUCCUUCUGGACUUGUGGGCACCAGCACUGGACACAGGAUUCCAGCAGUGGUCGCACCAGCGCCCAAUAUAGAGGGCGAGAUGGUACCUGGAAUAUCAGAAGGUCUGCAGCUUCGAGCUUCUUCUGUUCUGCUACAAUGUCGCUGCUCAGCCGACCUUCUGCCCAUGCCAAGGCUGUCUCAGGACCAUACUUGAAGUUGUUGGGGUCUUUUGACUUACCUGAGAUAGGAGACAGAGGAGCCCAAUGGGCUAGGUACUGCACCUCCAGAGCAAAAAAGAUGGUCCUUGUGCCAAAGAGCUCCCCAGCCAAGUAGAAGACAAGAGACCGACCGACAGGGGAGCAUGAGAAUCAAG